UGCAUCGGCCGGGAAUCGAACCCAGGCCGCCCGCGUGGCAGGCAAGCAUUCUACCACUGAACCACCGAUGC
rnacentral:tRNA from 1 species